rnacentral:rRNA from 1 species
CCAAUAGCGUAUAUUAAAGUUGUUGCAGUUAAAAAGCUCGUAGUUGAAUUUCGGGGUUAGUAGGCUGGUCAUGCCUCCGGUAUGUACUGGUCUCACUGAUUCCUCCUUCCUGAUGAACCGUAAUGCCAUUAAUUUGGUGUUGCGGGGAAUUUGGACUGUUACUUUGAAAAAAUUAGAGUGUUUAAAGCAGGCUAACGCUUGAAUACAUUAGCAUGGAAUAAUGAAAUAGGACGUUCGAUCCUAUUUUGUUGGUUUCUAGGAUUGACGUAAUGAUUAAUAGGGAUAGUUGGGGGCAUUAGUAUUCAAUUGUCAGAGGUGAAAUUCUUGGAUUUAUUGAAGACUAACUACUGCGAAAGCAUUUGCCAAGGAUGUUUUCAUUAAUCAAGAACGAAAGUUAGGGGAUCGAAGACGAUCAGAUACCGUCGUAGUCUUAACCAUAAACUAUGCCGACUAGGGAUCGGAUGAUGUUAAUUUUUUAAUGACUCAU